CCCUCAGCAGAACAGGGUCAGUGCUGUAAAGCUCGGGUUUGGGGCGUCAGGGCGACCUGGAGGAUGACAGAGGGCCCUGCUAGUUGGCUGUGACUGCCCAGCACAGCGGCAGCUAAGCCCCAUCCAUAGACCCAGAAUCCUGGCCGCCUCGAUGUGACUCUUAAGUGGUGGUUCAGGUGACCAGCAUUCCUGCCUGGAUAAUCCAUCUACUUGUGGAGUUUAUUCUUAUUUUUGAAGAAAGUGGAUAAUGCUGAAUUGAGGCGAAGAAUUCCCAUCUGGGGGCCCAAAGGGAAAUAGGAAAGUUGACUCGUCAGAGGAGACCUAGCUGCCAUUAUUUGCCUUCCAGUCGCUAUGUUCAUUGGUCAGCUGACAUCUUGACCAUGACAUUCUGAAAGGCUGAAUAGAUACUUAAAAUGGGCUAGAGAGAUGGC